rnacentral:rRNA from 1 species
UGGGGAAUCUUCCGCAAUGGACGAAAGUCUGACGGAGCAACGCCGCGUGAGUGAAGAAGGUUUUCGGAUCGUAAAACUCUGUCUUUUGGGGCGAACGUGAGUAUGGUGAACAAUCAUAGUCAGUGACGGUACCAAAGGAGGAAGCCACGGCUAACUACGUGCCAGCAGCCGCGGUAAUACGUAGGUGGCAAGCGUUGUCCGGAAUUAUUGGGCGUAAAGAGCGCGUAGGCGGGAUAGUCAGUCUGUUGUAAAAGUGCGGGGCUCAACCCCGUGAUGGCAAUGGAAACAGCUAUUCUUGAGUGCAGGAGAGGAAAGUGGAAUUCCCAGUGUAGCGGUGAAAUGCGUAGAUAUUGGGAGGAACACCAGUGGCGAAGGCGACUUUCUGGACUGUGUCUGACGCUGAGGCGCGAAAGCCAGGGGAGCGAACGGGAUUAGAUACCCCGGUAGUCCUGGCCGUAAACGAUGGGUACUAGGUGUGGGAGGUAUCGACCCCC